rnacentral:tRNA from 1 species
GCACACGUAUCUUAGCUCGGCAAAGAGGUAGCCUUGAGAGUUACUGUCCCUAGGACUCGGCGGUUCGAAUCCGUCCGUGUGCG